GUGAAUCAUCAAAUUUUUGAACGCAAAUUGCACUUCUUGGUAUUCCGAGGAGUACACAUGCUUGAGGGUCAGUUAUAAAAAAUAGUCCAUCAUGGUUGCUGCGGACCUGGGUAUUCCGUUUUUAAUAAAUUGUCAUCUAAAAUUAAUAUGGUUAUGUAAUGUGAAUCGUACUAAUUAUCUAGUCGCUAACCAUUUAUUCUUAUUACAUUACCACUAUACGCAAGUAUUUAGUUGGUGUCUAACUUCUGAAAAUGACACCC
rnacentral:misc_RNA from 1 species